CUUGUCCCCGCUGCAGGUCACCCUCCUCUUCUCCUCCCCACGCAUGCACCCUACCUCGCUCCCGCCGCCGUUUCCCCUUUCGGCCUCGCGUGAGAUGAGAUGGAGAGCCGUGGAUGACCAUGGUGGGGACGAGCUGAUACGAGCGCGCUCCCUUCGCCGCCACUGGAUCCUGCCCCGCCGCCCCCCUUUCCUGCCCCCGCGGCCUCCUCCUCCACGGCCGAUGUGCUCUUCUCGCCGUCCCAAAACCCUAAAGAUAACUAACCCGUCCCCUUCCGCCACGAUGUUCGUCUAUAGUAAUCACAAGAUGAUUAAGCAUGGUAUUAGUUUGCUGAUGAAUCUACCACGAGAAAUGCUCACUUCCUUGCCCGUCCGAUGUCCAUGUGUGCAAUUGGGGCAUUUUUUGGAUUGGUAGUUUAUAUGUGAUGUGACGAGUUGAACUUCUCCGACCCGAAGCGCAAGUCGAGGUACCUAAGCAAGAUAAUCAUGGCCGUGCUACUCAUCGCCAUGUGGUCGUCAUGCUCACCCAGCCGCCUUGCCAUAGCUUCUCAGUGUGAUCUUACUAGAAAAAUUCGGCGGACAUAAUAAUGAGCAAUCUAAAACAUUAAAGGGGAGCAUGUGGGGCGGACAACGGGAGUGGCCACGUCAGGGGGUUGGGCGCGGGCGACUUGGUGAUGGUUUGCCCACGUCGAUCUUACGAGGGCUUGGUGGUGGUUUGCCCACGUCGAUCUUUACUGUGACCUCAAUUCUUGUCGCUUCGUAUCUCUCCUCCACUUUUGCCUCUUCCCCUUCCUCAUUCCUUAUGGAGGUGCCAAUCGAGCCAGCGCUGGCAGUUGGCCCGUUGGUGGCGUCCAGAUCCAAACGAAGCCACCGAGCAGGCGAGAAGCUGCACCCUGCAGCUGCAAGAGAUGGCCAUGGCACCGGCUGAAAACUUUUACCUGCAGCUUAUCAUUGGUUCUGUCAUGUUGUAGUUAUGCCAUGAAUGCUUAAGGAGGACAAAGUUUAUCGGGAGUUAGCGGCAACACAAUAUUGGGCUUCUUGUUUCCAUGGUGAGGCAACAGUUCAAGAAAAACAUGCUGCCUGGCUUUUAAAAAGGGGUAGGCAUGAACUUGCAGCCGUUGCAGUUUUCAGCUCGCAAGGUUCAGACAGAUUAGAAGCCAUGGCCGUCAUAAGGAGAUAUUAAGUUGGAUUUCGAACUGGCUUCUGCCCAGGCUUUGAGAUGCUUCUAGAUAUCGUGGAUUAUUUUUGGACAUAUACUUUUGUUCAACAUUGGCUUGUUGGGAUGGAGAACCAUGCACUUGGAGAUAGGUAAUGUUCCGGAGCAGAGUCUAGUGCCCGGAGGCCAUUCGAUGUCCGACAGAGACGGGCUGGAACACGCUCAGUCCUCGACGGCAGGUAGCACACGUGCUCACAGACACCUCACCGAAUAAGGGCGCAACCCCCUCAAUAGGCAAUAACGAAAAGGAGUGACGAACUUGGCAGGGAGAUCACAAGGCAGGUGGUUGCCUGUGCUGUGUUUCUUCCAAGGCUUCUAAGCUUUGGCCUUGCCCAUUCAGGAGCAGCAACACCUGGUGGUAAAUGUCUGAUGUAGAUUUUUCUUUAUAGUUAGUUCUUUGCAUGAUUAGAUGUGGAUUUUCUACUUCGCAAUUGAAACUAUUCAUUAUUAUGAUCUGUAUCUUUGUAGUUACUUAGUAGUCCUGAACAGAAGCUACUGGUCCUUGCAUGAUCUUUACUUCUUUGGCGAUGAAAUGCAGGCAUUAUUAUUUCAUCAAAGAAAAAGGCAUAGCAUGACGCCAACUGCCUGCCUUGCAUGAACUUCUUUCGAAUCACAUUUUGCUGUGCGGUUAAAUUAAGUUUAUUUUAUUUAUAUGACCAGUCAUCUUGUUUUUUCAUAAACACAAAGGAAUGGUGGUCAAUUUGCCUCCCUACAAAUAAAUAAAGAGAACUCACUAAAUAGACAUAUAUUUAGACUCGCCACCAACGCAUGCAAGCUGGCACGAGACCCUUCAUUUCGAAGAGAAAACGCCACGUCUCGAUAUGGGGCCGGCCUUGCAAUUCAGUGGAUGAAUCCGGUUGCAGCUAGAACUACAAUUCCCAUGUGAUCAAUAUGAUGAUGUCUACAGCAUGGUGUCAUUGUCCAGGUAACCAAAUAGCCACCUUGAUUUUUCUAACCGCUUAGCUGCGCGUACAAAGCUAGUUCUCUUCAUUUCAGUUAUGUUUUGGUUUAUUGGUAUACUCUCUUAGUAUAGUAAUCAUAAUUUCAAAUUUUCUAGGCGGUAUCUUAUGCAUUCAAAUAUACUAAUUAAAAAAUUUCAUAAAGCUUGCCACUCUAGGAGCACUGCAUUGUUUCAAUCUAUUGAGACUCUUUCCUGAUAGUACAUGUCAAAUGCGUGCAUGCAUGCACCAUGUCUAAUAAUAGAUUAAAUGUCUAUUAUGUGCUUGGAGGGUGAGGUUAAUUUGAUUUGCACGGAACUAACGAAGGAGGGUCUGGAUCAAUUUUUACCUGCUUCAGUAUUCAGUACCUUUCUAUGCGGAAGUAUUCAGUUUAAAAUGGAAGUCAGUGUUUGCCCAAAUGAAAGCACGCACUGUGAGAUAAUUUUGCACUUGUAAGAUAGGUUUUUUUAGUCAGUGUCAGUGUUAGCACCUUGUUUUUUCAUAAAUAGCAUUAUGAAUAACACAAUGCCAAACUUGAUAAUGCAUAUUGCAUUGGUAGGGUUACUCUUAACUUAAGCAUUGCUUAAUAAGCAGUCAAGUGCCUUUCCAUCUGUGUUUUUGACGUGUAAUCUUGUCAAAGAACGAGUCUUUAGGUCCUGGAUUCAGCAUUAGCCAAACUUGCUUUUGAUAUACAAUUAUAUUAUACUUAGUCUUUAGGUCCUGCUUGUAGUUUUGGUUGCCCUUCAGUUGGUCAACUUUGGCCAGAAAAACGAACUAGAGUUGACUAAAGGAAAUUGGCUUGCCAAAGGCAACCAUCCAAACAACUACCAAAUUUUGGUCAAUGACCAAAAAUUUGGCAUGUCACAUCUUGGCAGUGAACCAAAAACACCCGAAUUUCUACUAAAUAAGAAAAAGGUUUGCAUCUUAUUUACUACUGUAGAUUUGAAGUUCCUGUCUUGAAAUAUAUGGGGCAAUUGUCGUUGGUAAGCUUUUGGAGCGAGAUAGCAUUGGUCUUGGAUAUGCUACAACUCAAGGUAUUAUCUUCUUUACCAUUUUCUCACUUGAUAUCCUAACAGUCAUGUUAUAGAUUGAUUCAUAAUGUGAUAUCACUUCUCAUCUAUAGGUGAGAAUGUGGACAUGGUGAAAGUGUCACCACUGACCCAAUAAAAGUAUUCAUAGUUACUCCGAUCCAUAAUAAGUGUCUCAGAUUUUGUACUAACUUAGUACAAAGUUGUACUAGAUCUACUAACUUAGAUGGGACUGUCUACUAACUUAUGCUCGUGAUAAUUUUCAUUGAGAUUUUUAUCUCACUCCUCUCAUGUUUCUUUUACAUUUCAUAUAUAGGACUCCUGCCGAUUAGAUGUUUCGAAAACGCCUGAAGAUUUAGCUUCCAGUCAACUAUGCUGCACUUUCAGCUAGGCCUGCAAGAGCAGCUUAUGUCUACUAUAUCAGUUAAUUUCUUAGUUUAUUAUAACCAGUUAAUCUCCUGGUUUAGCGAUGACUCACCAUUUACGCUCAGGUGGCGCGCGAAGGCAUGCCGCAGCAUCUAGUACACAUUAGUUGGCAGCUACGAAUUAGGUUAUGCAGAUUAGAGUUUAUAGACAGCAGGCACAUGUUUGGUAUUCUAGAAUAUGCUUCUGUCUUUCUUGGUCCGUGGUAGUAGUAGAGAAUCAGCUUUUUGAGCUUUCAAAAUGUUUCGCCUCGAGUUACUCGAUUUUUUUUUUUGCAAAUAUAAAUGUGCCACCAAUGAACAAUAGCACCUGUCACCUUCUACUGCUACGAUUCGACAAGGAAAUUGCAGUUACAAGUGUUGGUUCACAAAUAUCUAUGUGAUGACCAGAGGGUUUAGAUGAUUUUAUUUUACGGGGCAUUGCGCUGGACAAAUUGUGAUGUAUGAAUACAAUUGUUGUGUUUUCAUAGCGGGUUGCAAAUGUAUUCAUUUUCUCUAACCGUGUGGCAUCUUAUAAGGUUGCCUUCGGGAAGUUAUUUGAUAGGAACUAGGAAGUGAAUCCUAGCAAAACUUGAGACAGGAGUCCAAAUACACCCUCGAUAAAGUAGUAAUUGGUGAAGUGAUCUGCAGCGUGGGCGAACCGAUUUGAGGAGACUUUCAAUCUAUAUGGAACAUUAAUACUCUUACAACAGGUUUUGCACGUGCAAAGGACAUGGAGAUGCCUUUGUCUUGGAGUUGCCUUUACUUCAGUAGGAGUGAAAUAUUUCCACAAGAAAGCUGUAGAAUAUGAUAUUGGUAUUUAUUUUGAAGCCAAUGGACAUGGAGUAAUGCUAUCCUCUGAUGAGUUUAUCUGACGGCUUGAGUCUUUGGCUACGAAGCUUUCUCCCAAAGCUGCAGGGGAGCUGUUCAUGGCGGUAUUGUCUGCAGGGUGGCUUUUUUCCCAAAAGCUCAAUGAUAAGAAAAACUAUAAUGAUGGUAAUUAAAAAAUGUUUUGCUAUUUUUGCCGAGGACUAUAUUAUCAACAACAUUUUUGUUGCCAUGCUAGCGGAGAACUAUAUAUUUGCUCCCUUUUUUUUGUUCA